ensembl:lncRNA
AUGCAUGGCUAUAAACCCGAAACUCGUCCUAGAAGGUUGAAAACUAUCCAUGUUCUUCUUACAAAUAUAUCUCCCCCAGUUUUACCUGUUAAUACCCCACAGAUGAAACUGGCCCUUCUAAAUGUCAGAUCACUAAAUAACAAAACCUUUCUGGUCAACGAGCUGAUUAAAGAAAACAACUUAGAUUGUAUCUGUCUAACAGAAACUUGGCUAAACGAUGACACGGCAAAAGCAACUUUGAUAGAAGCAUGUCCGCCUGAUUACAGCUUCCACCAAGUUUCUAGGAAAUCAAAAAGAGGUGGAGGAGUUGCAGCUAUUUCCUCAUCUAAACUGUUGUUCAAAAUCACUGAGCUAGGUGAAUUUACAUCAAUUGAAUAUCUUGCUAUAGAGCUCAAAACUGAAUCAGUAUUGUUUGUUAUUAUAUAUCGGCCACCCAAGCACUCACCAAUAUUCAUACAAGAAUUCUCUGAACUAUUAUCACUAUGUGUCACAAGAUAUGACAAAAUAGUCCUGAAUGGAGACCUUAAUAUCCACGUUAAUAAAAAAGCAGACCAAAGAACUAUUGAACUUUUAAAUCUCCUCACCAGUUUCGAUCUAACUCAGCACAUAACGGAUCCAACACACCAGCACGGAAACACACUAGAUCUACUAAUAACAACUGGAUUAAACAUCAAUAAUAUUUCAAUAACUGAUCUACCGCUCUCCGACCAUCAUUGUAUACUUUUUGAUGUGGAAAUCAUCUUACCUAAAACCACAAAAGAAUUCUUAGUCCAUAAAAGACAUCUAGACGAUGAAGCUACGGAGAGAUUUUCUGAGCAGAUUGCUCUAUAUGAGCCAACUAAUCAUGACCGCUCUCUAGAUGAAAUGGUAGAGAACCUAAAUGAAGCAUUAUCAUCUGUGUUAGACACUGUAGCCCCACUUAAAACUAAAAACAAGUUUACAAGUAGGACCUCCCCAUGGCUAAGAAAUAAAAAUGUUAGUGAAAUAAAAAGACAAUGUCGCGUAGCAGAGAGAAAAUUGAGAAAAACAAAGACCACUAUCCACCACGAUAUCUACAAAGAUGCACUAACUACCUAUAACAAAACCAUCCGUCUAGCAAGGAAAGGUUAUUUUUCCCACAUUAUUACAGAAAAUGCCGGAAAUUCCAGAGUUCUGUUCUCCACCAUUGACCGCCUACUAAACACUGUCCCUGCCCCCCCACUAUCCUCAGCAGCUAAAUGUGAAGAGUUUGCUCAGUUCUUCAAGAACAAAAUAACAUCGAUCAGAUCUAGUAUCACUACUGGAGGUGAAAUUGACAUCCGAUCUUGCAACUUAACCAUGAGCAGUUUUACAUGUAUCACACUAAGUGAACUCUCCAAAAUCAUCAUUGAAUGUAAAUCUACAACCUCAGAUAUUGAUCCUAUUCCCACUGCAUUCUUUAAGCGAGUGUUUGAUAGUGUCUCAGGUCCGGUCCUUGACAUCAUAAACACAUCCCUGAGAACUGGCGUUUUCCCAGAUGCCUUCAAAACAGCUGUUGUAAAGCCCCUAUUAAAGAAACCCAAAUUGGAUACCAGUACACUAGCAAACUAUAGACCGAUAUCAAAUCUUCCCUUUAUUAGUAAAGUCCUUGAAAAGAUAGUAUUAUGCCGCUUUUCCACUGCAUGGUACCAGCUCGACACGACUCGACUCAGCUCGCAUUUUUUGCGUUUCCACCGCGAAAACAUGGUAUCUGGUACCUGA